GGAAGUUGCCAUGAGAGCAGGGCAGACUGCACUUCCGGAAAGGCACUGGGAGGCAGCAGGAGGAAUGGAAGGAUGGCCCAGCUCGGGAGCCAGGAGGACGUCUCGCAGACCUUGGUGAGGACUGAUGUCAGGCCAUGAUGAAAUCACCAGGGAGUGCCAGGGAAGGACCCGGAGAAACAGCAAAGGACAGCCGCUGAUGGCCUAGACCUUGACCAGCAUUGACAUUUGGAGAUUGGGAUGAACAGAAUGGACCACCUUGGUGGCCAGAGUGUGCUUCCCAAUGAAGUCUUUCCCUAGAAUUCACAAUAUAACCCAAUAAAUGGCGAGUUCAUCAAAGGC